AUUGAACGCUGGCGGCAGGCCUAACACAUGCAAGUCGAGCGGAUGCAGGGAGCUUGCCCCUGGAUUCAGCGGCGGACGGGUGAGUAAUGUCCAGGAAUCUGUCUGGUAGUGGGGGAUAACGUCCGGCAACGGGCGCUAAUACCGCAUACGCCCUGAGGGAGAAAGAGGGGGAUCUUCGGACCUCACGCUCUCAGAUGAGCCUAGGUCGGAUUAGCUAGUUGGUGGGGUAAAGGCCUACCAAGGCGACGAUCCGUAGCUGGUCUGAGAGGAUGAUCAGACACACUGGAACUGAGACACGGCCCAGACUCCUACGGGAGGCAGCAGUGGGGAAUAUUGGACAAUGGGCGAAAGCCUGAUCCAGCCAUGCCGCGUGUGUGAAGAAGGUCUUCGGGUUGUAAAGCACUUUAGGUUGGGAGGAAGGGCAGUAACUUAAUACCUUGCUGUUUUGACGUUACCGGCAGAAUAAGCACCGGCUAACUUCGUG
rnacentral:rRNA from 1 species